UACGUAGGGUGCAAGCGUUGUCCGGAAUUAUUGGGCGUAAAGAGCUCGUAGGCGGUUUUGUCGCGUCUGCUGUGAAAAACGCGGGGGCUCAACUCCGCGCCUGCAGUGGGGUACGGGCAGACUAGAGUGCAGUAGGGGGAGACUGAAUUCCUGGUGUAGCGGUGGAAUGCGCAGAUAUCAGGAGGAACACCGGUGGCGAAGGCGGGGUCUCUGGGGCAGUAACUGACGCUGAGGAGCGAAAAGCGUGGGGGAGCGAACAGG
rnacentral:rRNA from 1 species